GUCUCAGGUUUUUCACAUUAUAAAGUAAUCAAACAUUUUUCAAUUUCUACAUUCAAAGCAAUACAAAAUGACUAAAAUUUUAAAUGUUUUUUAUGCCGCGAUCAUCUUUCUUUCCAUUUUUCUUUAUGUAACGAACUGCUCAAUUAUUACAUGCGAAUCUGAUGAAGAUUGCCCAACUAGUUUUUGCAUCCCUCCUCAAAUUCCUAAGUGCAGAACAAUUUGUGAAUGUAUCACUAAAACACAACACUUACGUUAAAAAAUUAAGCGUAGUGUGAUCUUUAAAUUUCAAUGUUCGACUCUAUUAUUAUACUAAUGAAAGUGAUAAUACAUUAAUUCACUUUUAUACUUAUCUACUUUAAUAAAUAAGGAAAUAUAUCUAUUUUCUCUAGUUAUGAAAGUUAAUGACUACAAAAAAUACAAUCUUACUUCAUUCUAA